rnacentral:lncRNA from 1 species
CGAGGUUCAGAUCGACGUCACGAGGAGGCUCUCCGUCUUGGCCGCCCGUCGCUGCUGGACCGUCGUUUUCCGUCUGCACUACCGGAGCCGAAGACUGACCUUGCGUCUACUGGUCCGAUGGUCCAGUACCGGAAGUACCACCGGUCUCAAAGAACCCUCGUGCUCGCUGUUGCCUCGCUCGGAUUGCGGUGGCCAACUGCGGAACCGCUUCCGCAAUG